rnacentral:rRNA from 1 species
GACGAACCGUGCAAACGUUGUUCGGAAUCACUGGGCUUAAAGGGCGCGUAGGCGGUCGAUCACGUCCGGGGUGAAAUCUUUCGGCUUAACCGGAAAAGGGCCUUGGAUACGGAUCGGCUGGAGGGAGGUAGGGGCAGGUGGAACUUCCAGUGGAGCGGUGAAAUGCGUUGAUAUCAGGAAGAACACCCGUGGCGAAGGCGGCUCUCUGGGACGGUACUGACGCUGAGACGCGAAAGCGUGGGGAGCGAACAGG